ACAUUUCAUCAUCAGCAUCCAUCGAUUCCACAAGGAAAUUAUCCUCAUUGUCCUUAUUGGUGGCCACAUGCUCUGUCUGAGCAUUUGGGAGCAGCUCACCAAAAGCAGAUUUGACUACGGGCUUUUCUGCAGCUGGGGGAGGACGAAUGUUCUGCUUGUUUGGGCUUGAAAAUGUUGGAUCUUUUUGCUGCUGCUUCUGCUGCAAUUUCUGCUUUACGCGCAAGAAGAACUUCUGAGGAGAUUCCAAUACAAUGGGGUCUACGUUUAACAUUUUCACAGCCUGGUUCUGAGGAAUCCGAAUGCACGGUAAUUCUCUCCUGGGCGGCUCCGUGGCCCUGCGCUGUCCCCCGCCUGCAACGCGCGGCCCGGGCCCGCCGGGCGUCAGGAUGCGGUCGCUGCCGCCGCCGGCCCUGGUCUUCAUCUUCAUCCUCAGGAAGGCCGCGGCCGGGGAUUGCUGGGCGGGCGGCUCGCGCGCGCGGCGCUUCGGCGGUGGCGGUCCGGGCCCGGGGCGGAUCUCGCUGAUCUCCAGCGGCUCCCGCGCGCCCGCGCCGCCCUCCAGCAGCGUGGACUGCAGCACGGGGCCCGGCGCCGGGCGGGCGGGCGGGCAGAGCGCGGAGUUACCCCGACAGCGCAGGUCCUUCAGCGGGGUGAGCGUGCCCGCGGGGAUGGAGCUGAGGAACACCGCCUGGAACGGCAUCUCCCCACGGCGGGGCGUGGCGAUCAUCGCGGCGCGGGGCUGCGGGCUGUCCCGCUGCGGGCUGUCCCCUCGCGCCCCGGCUCCCGGUCCCGCUGUGGUGGCGGCCCGUCCCCGCCCCGUCCCGCCCUGUGCCUCUCACAGAGCGCGCGCAGCGCCCAGGAGAAGAUUUGAGUUGGAAGCUCCUCGCGCUGAUUGGAGGUGGGGCUGCGUGACGUCAGAGCGCGCGGGGCGGAAAUGGCGGAACAGAGCGGAAGUGAAGUAGCAGAGCGCCGCUUCCGGAUGGGUGGUGGUUCCGCCAUAUGGCUGCUGAUCGCCGGCGGCUCGGGCUCAGUCUGCGGUGCUCUGUGGCUGCUUGGGGCUGUGUGUCCCCGGGGCAGCACCAACCCCGGAGGAUCUCUGUGGGCGUUGCUGUGGCUGUGCUGGCUCCUGGUGCGGCGCUUUGGGGCAGCGGUGUGCGGAGCGGAGCUAGCCCCGCUGGGUGAUGGGGGAACGGUGAGAGAGCUCUGUGGUUCCUGAAGUUCUCACCGGGUGAGACACCUGUGAGGCUUUUCCGUAAGCCAAUGAGCCCCGCUUCCCUCCGGUUACCUGCAGCAGCCUUUGGAUUUCUUCCUUCUGGGAAAGUGCAGUAGGAUCUGUAGGGAGUUUGGUGAGCAUGUGACCUCUUUUUUAGCAGAAGGGGGUUGUGAGCUCUGAGGGUAGUUUGAGGAAGCUGUGGGUGCUCACACGUGGUAAAUCAACCUCAUUAACAGGGCAGAGCAAGGCCCCUGUUUUACGUGCUGGGCUCCAGGAGAGCUUCCUAUGCAAUGUGUCUUGUUUGCUGUUGCUUUGUUCCCUAAAGGAGAGGAGAGAUUGAUUGUGUAAGGAAGAAAAAGUCAUCCUGGCUACCUACAGAGAACUUAAGCUAAUAAGAAAUAGUAGGGCUGUUAAUUGAUUUUCUUUGAGCAUUUACAGGUGCUGCAUACAGGUGGAGCAGCAGCUGUGUAAGGAGGAGAGCUGACUGUUGCAGGGCCAGUAUUGCACUUGGAGGUAAAAAGUACAGGGUUUUUAGCUCAAAGCCAUACCUGGAGGGUGGCAGCUGGGUCUGAGCCUUGUCAGGUUGUAAAAAUUAACACUAGGAAUGGUUUGCAUGUUCAGGUAUCCAAGGCCAGGAAUGAGAGUAAAACAUCCAAUGCUUUUGCACGCCUUGGGCCACGAUUAUUUUGGUUGUCUGAAAUAGCAGCUUCUGCUCUGCUUUGAUGCCAGCAAAGCCUGAAGGAGCGAGGAGUCAUCCUGCCAGUCACACCCCAUAUGUGCAAGGUCCCAUCAUUACUGUGUUUAGAGUACUGCAUAGAUCUGGGGGACUGCUUAGAAUACCAAAGCAGCAUGGAAACAGCACAGAAAAAUGCCACUAAAAUAAGUCAGAUUUCAGCACUGCUAUAUAAGUCCUGCAGGGUAGGACUCCCCUCAGCUGAGGGCCACGCUCACCUGCUUCAGAUGGCCAGUCAGAUGGAAAAACACUCUGCUAUCUGCAUAUGCCUCUUUCUCCAGUGGCAAGGAAGGUCUUGGAUGUCCUCGUGCUGAACCUCACCUAACAGUUGGUCUGUAGCCCACCUUGCAUUCUAGUGUUACCAGUCAGUAAGCAUAUGCCAAGGUAUCUGAGUAGUCCCACUGAUUUCUUGUGACUGUAAAGCUGAACAGAUGCUUUUCCUGGGACUGGGUAUUAAUGUGGGCUGGUGUUGAAGGUGUGUAAAUGAACCUUGUGCAAACUUGCAUCAAAAUGCAGGAGUCUUUUUAUGUGGGAGGAGAUCCUUAUCUUUAGGAAAUUGGGUAUGCAAUGCUGCAGAGAUUUCUUCCAGUAGAAGGCGCACGCAGGCAUUGUAAGCAAGGCCAAAAGCUUUGAGAGCCCAAUGAGCAAAGGGAGAGGAAUAGAGAACUUUCCCCACCAGGAAAUUUUAAAGCCAGUAAUAAACCAUCCUGCAUGUACAGACAUGCGUAUAUGUUAAAUGUGGGUAUAUUUACUUCUGCCAUCUCCACCUUGACAGAGAAACCUGCAGGUUUCUUUUCAGCCAUACAAGCAAUUGCUUUAUGGUCUCAAAAAUCUGAAGGUUAAAUUGGAUUACAUAGGAACCUGGAAAAUUAAAACAAAAGUACAGUUUUCUCCCAGAAAUGGAUGUAUGCCUUCCAUUAAAUGAAAGAAAACAAACAAGAAAUGGGGAUAAAGCACAGUGAAGGUAAUGCCAGUGGGUUACACACUAGUUAGCCAGGCAGAUGUGUAGAUACGAUUUGUGUAAUGACUGAGUUACCAGAAAAAUGGCUUCAAGAAAAAAAGUUAUACUGAAAGACUGUGCCUCUUUGCAGAGCUUCACAGUAAUUAUAGGAAACAGGAAACUUGAGGGCAAAAGGGCAUUUCUUUAAUUAUCAACAGUAAUUUAUCUUGGCUAAAUGGGAUACAAUAAAAGAUGCUUAAUUUUAAACACACUCCCUCCCUUUGCUCUGCUUCUCCCAUUGGAAACUCUGGGAGACUGCUAUGGGAAUGCAGAACGCUCUCAUGGGUGCUGUAGAUGUUCAAGAACCAACAGAAGCUGUUUGUUCCCUUGGUUUUUGUACAUCAAGCAUCUCCCUGGGCACAAAUGUGAUGCAGAAGAGUGACACAGCUCAGAGGACUGCAGAUGCUCACUCCUGUGCCUCCACACUUACAGUACUGCACAGCAGUGCUUUGGUGACGGUACCCACUGAAGGUAACAUGAAAGAGAGUGAAAUCCUUAAGCGUUCCCAUGGAAAAGCACACACUGCGGCCAAACAGCGCACAAGUUUUCCUGUGUCUAACCAUACACUGCAGGUCUGGCUGAAGGCACAGGAAUUUACCCACGCUUUGCAGUGCAGGCUUUCUGGUUGCUGCCACAGCAGUGCUCAGGAGAAGGGGAUGGAACAAUUUCCAGUGGGCGCACAGCAGUUCCAACUCAAAUCCUCUCCUUGUCUCUCCCAGCCAGGUGGGCGGGGGGCAGAGCAGGGCCACAGAGCUGCCCAGGAGAGGUUUGUAUUUAUUCCCCCUACUCUGUUUGCAGACGGGACUGACCUGUUGUCAUAGGUUGAGUCUAGAGGGCUUGGUGUUGGACCUCUCACUGCCAGACAGACAUUGAGGUACUGGAGUGUGCCUGUGUGCAGAGAGGGGAACGGAGCUGUGAGGGCUCUGGAGCACACAUCUGAUGGGGAGCUGCUGAGGGAGAGGGGGGUGGGGGGGGCAGUGUGGAGAAGGGGCUCAGGGGAGACUUUAGAGCCCUCCACAACUGCCUGAAAGGAGGUGGUGCUGGGAUGUGGGUAGGCCUCUGCUCCCAGGUAACAGCAAUAGCACAGAGGGAACGGCCUCGAGUUGUGCCAGGGAGGGUCAGGUUGGGCGUUAGGAAACACUUCUUCCUCCAAAUUGCUGUCAGGUGCUGCAAUGGGCUGCCCAAGGAGUGGUGCAGUCACCGUGCCUGGAGGUGUUCAGGGAGCACGGGGCUGUUGUACCGAGGGCCAUG
rnacentral:lncRNA from 1 species